AAAUUGAAGAGUUUGAUCAUGGCUCAGAUUGAACGCUGGCGGCAGGCCUAACACAUGCAAGUCGAGCGGUAGCACAGAGAGCUUGCUCUCGGGUGACGAGCGGCGGACGGGUGAGUAAUGUCUGGGAAACUGCCUGAUGGAGGGGGAUAACUACUGGAAACGGUAGCUAAUACCGCAUAACGUCGCAAGACCAAAGUGGGGGACCUUCGGGCCUCAUGCCAUCAGAUGUGCCCAGAUGGGAUUAGCUAGUAGGUGGGGUAACGGCUCACCUAGGCGACGAUCCCUAGCUGGUCUGAGAGGAUGACCAGCCACACUGGAACUGAGACACGGUCCAGACUCCUACGGGAGGCAGCAGUGGGGAAUAUUGCACAAUGGGCGCAAGCCUGAUGCAGCCAUGCCGCGUGUGUGAAGAAGGCCUUCGGGUUGUAAAGCACUUUCAGCGGGGAGGAAGGCGGUGAGGUUAAUAACCUCAUCGAUUGACGUUACCCGCAGAAGAAGCACCGGCUAACUCCGUGCCAGCAGCCGCGGUAAUACGGAGGGUGCAAGCGUUAAUCGGAAUUACUGGGCGUAAAGCGCACGCAGGCGGUCUGUCAAGUCGGAUGUGAAAUCCCCGGGCUCAACCUGGGAACUGCAUUCGAAACUGGCAGGCUAGAGUCUUGUAGAGGGGGUAGAAUUCCAGGUGUAGCGGUGAAAUGCGUAGAGAUCUGGAGGAAUACCGGUGGCGAAGGCGGCCCCUGGACAAAGACUGACGCUCAGGUGCGAAAGCGUGGGGAGCAAACAGGAUUAGAUACCCUGGUAGUCCACGCCGUAAACGAUGUCGAUUUGGAGGUUGUGCCCUUGAGGCGUGGCUUCCGGAGCUAACGCGUUAAAUCGACCGCCUGGGGAGUACGGCCGCAAGGUUAAAACUCAAAUGAAUUGACGGGGGCCCGCACAAGCGGUGGAGCAUGUGGUUUAAUUCGAUGCAACGCGAAGAACCUUACCUGGUCUUGACAUCCACAGAACUUUCCAGAGAUGGAUUGGUGCCUUCGGGAACUGUGAGACAGGUGCUGCAUGGCUGUCGUCAGCUCGUGUUGUGAAAUGUUGGGUUAAGUCCCGCAACGAGCGCAACCCUUAUCCUUUGUUGCCAGCGGUCCGGCCGGGAACUCAAAGGAGACUGCCAGUGAUAAACUGGAGGAAGGUGGGGAUGACGUCAAGUCAUCAUGGCCCUUACGACCAGGGCUACACACGUGCUACAAUGGCAUAUACAAAGAGAAGCGACCUCGCGAGAGCAAGCGGACCUCAUAAAGUAUGUCGUAGUCCGGAUUGGAGUCUGCAACUCGACUCCAUGAAGUCGGAAUCGCUAGUAAUCGUAGAUCAGAAUGCUACGGUGAAUACGUUCCCGGGCCUUGUACACACCGCCCGUCACACCAUGGGAGUGGGUUGCAAAAGAAGUAGGUAGCUUAACCUUCGGGAGGGCGCUUACCACUUUGUGAUUCAUGACUGGGGUGAAGUCGUAACAAGGUAACCGUAGGGGAACCUGCGGUUGGAUCACCUCCUUA
rnacentral:rRNA from 1 species